UAGAGCCUUUUAGACUCCAAACCAGUGUGAAACUACCUUCUGAAAGUGUCGUCUCGGCGGGUUGCCGUGCUGGAAGUCCUCUGUGGCGUCCAGUAUCGGCGUGCCCUGCCUGGCCAGCUAGGCGCCCGCCGGCAGCACCAAACUCUCUCUUUGUUAGCGGGAUCUUACCAUCCCAUCUGAGUGGUACUACAAGAAAACAAGCA
rnacentral:misc_RNA from 1 species